GAUAUGGGUUUCAUUGAUAUUGUGUUUCAAUGGUCUCUUGAAGACAUAUUCAACGAUAACCUUUAUAAGGAUCAGGUGGGUUUGCUUUGUUCUUCAUCAUAAUCAUCAUCAUCACCCUUGAAUCUUUGGUUUUCUUUUUUUGUUAGACCUUAUUUAUGGGUUUUCUUUGCAGCUUUUGGAAUAUCCACUUUUAUGGAAGUUGAAAAUGAUUGCUCUUAUACUUAAAAAUAGCUGUAGCAGUGAGCUGGAAUAAACUUUCUUUGUGUGUGUGUGUGUGUGUGUGUGUGUGUUGCAGCCCUAGCCCAUUUCUGCAUUCUAUAUUGUGUACGUCUUGCUUUUAGUCGGUCAUUGGCAGCUAGCUAAAAGUGGCAUGUAGUUACGUAGGUAGUGAAUCGAGUAUAAGCCUUAUGAAAUUUUUGCUAACAAGGGAAUUAGGAACUAAUGGCAGCUAAAACACAAUAACUUGUUAUUUUCUUGCUAUUAAACUCUUUUGAAAUUUUACUAAUAGAACUUUUUGUUACUAUAGUUGUUGUGCACGUUAUAAAAUACCUCAGAACAU
rnacentral:lncRNA from 1 species